rnacentral:tRNA from 1 species
GCGGUUGUGGCUCAGUGGUAGAGUGCUCGCCUAGCACAUGCGAGGCCCUGGGUUUGAUCCCCAGCAACACA